GGUCUGGAACUCAGCAGUGUUAUAUAUUUGUUAUACAUAUUUGUUUGUUACAAAUAAAUUCAGUGUUUGUAUGUACAGUGUGUGUGUGUAUAUAUAUUUUAAAGUAAAUCAAUAAAUAAGAAACUUUGGUAACUUUGAUCCUGAUAUUGAGUCAGUUGCUGGUUGGAGAAACGUAGUAGCAGUGUAUAAUGUACACAGCUUCUGCAUCUGAAGCGGUUUUGUGUUUGAGCGUGAGCUGAUUUCAGGGGAAUACGACGGACCCUCUGUGUGUUUCACUAGCAUACAUAAAUCACCCUCACCGCAGUCAAGCCUCUCUCUCUCUGUUAUGACUCUCUCUUUGUUAUGGUUCAAGCCUCCGUUUGCUCUAUUCUCUGAGGAUUAUCAGAACCAAACUGAAUUGAACGCAGCUCAGCGGUAUAAUAAGGCAUUCAGCUGGCCGGCCUGACACUUGGCGUGUAAUUAAGGGCCUGGUGUUGCCGUUUGAUGCCAAAUGAAAGAAAAUGGCCUCGCUCUCUCCCGCUGAUUGCUGCCUGGCAUCUUUCACCUGAAUUUCCCGGCCCUCCCGCCAUUGUGCAGACGAUUGCGAGUAUGUGGGUAAUUGCAUUGUGAGUGAAUGACGGCUCCCGUGGACUGCGUGGCACCGCGUCACUGCUCAGGAAAAAGUACUGCAGUACACACAGGCAUCGUGGUGUGCGACUUUUACAGUCAAAAUAAGAUUGACUUUAAGAGAAUCAACACUGAGGGGGCUGAUUAUAAAUGCUGUUUUUGAACAAUUUGCAAGAACAGGAUGCAAUGCAAAUGUGCUCCAGUGGAAAUGUGCAAGAGUUAAAGCAUCAUUGGCUCACAUUUGCUGUUCUGGGGUGUGUUUCUCAAAAGCAUUGUUAGACAUCUAUGGUCGUAAGCUCUGUCAUUACUAACGGAGUUCAACGAUACAGUGUUACCCAAAACCACAGAGCGCAAUAGCUGGAUUCCGGAUGUCAAAACUCCAUUCAUUUUCUCCAUAGGGAAGUUGAUCUUUAAAGAUAACUUACA
ensembl:lncRNA